rnacentral:rRNA from 1 species
AUACGUAGGGGGCGAGCGUUGUCCGGAAUGAUUGGGCGUAGAGGGCGCGUAGGCGGCCUGUUAAGUCUGGAGUGAAAGUCCUGUUUUCAAGAUGGGAAUUGCUUUGGAUACUGAUGGGCUUGAGUGCAGGAGAGGUUAUCGGAAUUCCCGGUGUAGCGGUGAAAUGCGUAGAGAUCGGGAGGAACACCAGUGGCGAAGGCGGGUAACUGGACUGCAACUGACGCUGAGGCGCGAAAGUGUGGGGAGCAAACAGGAUUAGAUACCCUGGUAGUCCACACUGUAAACGAUGAAUGCUAGGUGUAAGAGGUAUCGACCCCUUUUGUGCCGGAGUUAACACAAUAAGCAUUCCGCCUGGGGAGUACGGCCGCGAGGUUGAAACUCAAAGGAAUUGACGGGG